rnacentral:SRP_RNA from 2 species
GCUGGGCAUGGUGGCUCAUGCCUGUAAUCCCAGCAUUUUGGGAGGCUGAGGUGGGUGGAUCACCUGAGGUCAGGAGUUUGAGACCAGCCUGGCCAACAUGGUGAAACUCCAUCUCUA